CCCUAUGGGGCGCACAGUGAAAGGCCAGUCUUUGACAAAAACAAAAUCGUGACCCAUGUUUUGCUUGACGUAUUCACCCAAUGCGCGUUCCGCCCCGGGGUCAAGGUCGCCCUUGCGUUCGGGGGGCAGCUUGUAAUCCAAGCCCUUCAGGAUUUGAUAGGCUUCCGACAUGGUCAGGCGUGGGAAGGGCAGGGAAGGCACUUCGAAGUCGACGUCGAAAUUUUCCUUGAUGGCGUCAUGGAACUUGGAAUCAACUGCCUGGUAAACAUAUGCCAGCCAUUUUUCCGUGAAAGCCAUGACAUCUUCGUGGCUGUCGAUCCAGGAGAUCUCAAAGUCCACGCCGGUGAACUCGGUCAUGUGGCGGGAGGGC
rnacentral:rRNA from 1 species